CCCCCAACUCUCCUCCACCCCCGGGGUGCAGGCUGGCUGGGGCUCCGGGUCAACUCUCCCUUCUCCCUCUGUAGAAGCCAGACGCUUCCCCUCUCUCCCCUCACCUAAAGAAGCCAGUUUGGGGCCAGUCACAUACUGGAUUAUGGAUCUUCAGAAUCCCUGGUCUUUGGCAUUUGGAAAGGCCUGGAAUAUGCCUUUUUAGCAGAUGACUGUGAUGCAGGUGGUCUGAGAAUGUGCUCUACAUCUUGUAAAACAGGUGACAUGAAAUGGCCGUUCUAGUCUAUGCAAUGGCAGCAUGAACACAGAAAGCUGAAACGGGGGAUCAGUUCUGCAGCCAAGAGACAUUAAAGCUCAAAGCACAGGAAAAGAGAGUGGAGGGGCUGCUGCCCCAGGAAGGCUGGGCCCACCCCUCCUCACAGGCACCCUGAUGCCUGUUCAGCUUGGCUCUCUGGAUGACAGGCAGAAGCCCCAGUUGCUUCUCUUCUCCACGGUGAUUUCUGCAUACUUUAUCCAAACCCCCUCCCCACCGCUGUUCAGUUUCUGGCUCCUCUUCCUGCCCGUGCUCUGAGGCCAGCUGGGGGCCUCCCAGGUGACUCCUGCUGCUGCUGUCACUGGACCCUGACGCUGUGCCGCACCCGAAUUCCUCCGAAUGGAGCCUUGGCCAGAGCAAGGCGUGCCGUGUAGAGGAGCGGAUCUGAGCCUGGCAGGAGAUCGCUAAAACCUUUGCCCUUCACACAAACGCGGAAGCACGGGGCGGGUGCUGAAGAGCCAAGCAAGUGUCCCCCAUUUCCUUCCAAGGCAGAGCAGCAGCCCAGGGAGGCCCAGUUUCCAUCGCGGCAGAAGGGCAGAAGAGUGGGGGAGGUCCCAGGACCACAGCCCAGGGGACACUCAGGAUGCGCCAGGAAGGACAUGGCAGACAGGCCCUUUAGGUGGAAAAGCAACCCUCAGCUGCCCAGAGAGCGGCCCCUCCAGGCCCUCCCCGCCGUCUGCAAAGCUCUUCAGCUGGGAGAGGAGGAAAGGGUUUGUUCUUGACCUCCUUCCUUUCCUUUCUUCUCCACUGUCCACCAGAGAGCAGGAAGACAGGCUGAUGCUCUUGUUAAAGAUGAAGGCAUAAUUCACAUGCCAUAAAAUUCACCAUUUUAACCAUUUUAAGGUGCACAGUUCAGUGGUUUUGAGUGCAUUACAUUGUUGGGCAACCAUCAGCAUGGUCUAAUUCCAAAACAUUUCUGUCACUCCAAAAAGAAAUCUUGUACCCAUUAGCAGUCACUCCCCAUUUCCCCCUACCCCCCAGCCCCCCGGCACCCACGAAGGUGCUUUCUCUGUUUCGAGGGAUCUUCCUAUUGUGGCAAAUCCUCUGAAUGGAAUCAUACAAUAUGUGGUCUUCUGCCACUGGCUUCUUUCACUGACCAUAAUUUUUCAAGGUUCACCCACGUUGUAGCAUGCGUCAGCGCUUCAUUCCUUUCCAUGGCUGGACUGUAUUUCAUUGUAUGUCUGGACCACAUUCUGUUUCUCUAGUCAUCAGUUGAUUACUUACUUUUCAGGGCCCACUUAGCCUUUCUUCCCAAGGGCAGGGGCUCUGUUGUCCACUGUUUUGGAGUCUUCCAGCAGACUUGAUGGAGUGUACCAGUGGUUUCCUUGCUGGGCAAAUAACCAGAGGGUCCCUGGGUACGGGAAUCUCUGAGUCCUGAUCUUUGGCUCUGCUGCAGACCAGGUCACUGUAUGAUCUUUUAGCAGCCUCUUUACCUCACCUGGCCUCAGUUUCUUCAUCUGAAAAAUGAAGGGCUUGAAGCAGAUGGUCUCUAACACUUCUCCUGGCCCAACACUUUAAGAUGUUUCAGCAAAGCAGUGAAGAAGCAGCCUUCUGUGACCUUUCUGAACAAGGCAGAGGAAAGCAAGCUGUAGGCUGACAUAGUUAGGUGAUUCCAUAACAAAAUUGCGCUGUAAACAAUCAUCUGGAUCAAUCGACAGAAGGCACUUGCAACAGGUUCCCAGAUGACAGAAAACUAUAGGAAUGACAGGGAAGGAAUGAUGGGGCAGAUUAAAAUGGAGAAAUUUAACAGGGACAAAUGUAAAAGUCGGACAUUUUGCUCCAAAGUUCAACAGAACAGCUACCUGCUUUGUUGGAUAUGUUCAGGCAGUGUCCUUUAUAAGAGUUUGAUUGACUCUAAAUGAAUCUCAUUAUGAGUCACCAUUGGGACAGGCUGCCAAAAGGCCAAUGUGACUUCAGAUUAAAUCAAUAGAGGUCUACUGGCUGAAACAAGGGAGGUGACAUUAUUGAGUCCAUCCCUGGUGUAUGUAGCUGCUACCCUCUGAGAAGGAGGCCCCCAAUAGGAAAAGCCAGAGGGAGGAUGGAUAAGACAUGAAGAGCUCUAGAACCAUGGUUUGGUAGUAGGAGGGGCUCAGGGUUUGGGUCUUUAAAAGAUAAGACAGAGAGUGCUGUUCACAUCUGUGAAGGAACAUGGCAUGAGAAGGGGAGUUGACUUCCACCAUGGGGACCUGCAGGGUGACUGGGGCUGGAAGAUGAUCAAUUGUGACCCAGGACCAGGAAGAACUUCGCAGCAACAAAAGUCACAGGAAAUGGAAAAAACUCCUGGUGAAGAACACAG
rnacentral:lncRNA from 1 species